rnacentral:rRNA from 1 species
GAUGAACGCUGGCGGCGUGCCUAACACAUGCAAGUCGAACGGACUCAUAUUGAAACCUAGUGAUUUAUGAGUUAGUGGCGGACGGGUGAGUAACGCGUGGGUAACCUGCCGUAUACAGGGGGAUAACACUUAGAAAUAGGUGCUAAUACCGCAUAAGCGCACAGUGUCGCAUGACGCAGUGUGAAAAACUUCGGUGGUAUACGAUGGACCCGCGUCUGAUUAGCCAGUUGGCAGGGUAACGGCCUACCAAAGCGACGAUCAGUAGCCGGCCUGAGAGGGUGAACGGCCACAUUGGGACUGAGACACGGCCCAA